AAACUGCAGCAAGAAGUCCCCUUCUCCCACCCUCCCUCCGCACACGACAGGCGAGGCACACCUGGAACGUGAGGCAGAGAGGGGUUUGCUUCCCUGGGAACCAGAAACCUCUUAAAAAUACCUGCCCCAUAAGUCAGUUUGGGUCUGUUGCCCUCCUAGUGCAUCCCAUGGUGCUCCUGCCCUGGUUUUAUUCACCAGGGAAGUAAAUCGGGACAGGAGAUGUGCAGCUCCCUCCAGCAAUACGUGCAAAAGGAUCUGCAAAGCCACCAAGAGAGACGACUGUGAGAUGAAGAGGAUGAGGAAGAAAUUGCCCCAUGAGCACUUUAUUCCACCUUUGUCCAGUAAAGGAUUUUCACAGAGUUGCUGCUGAGCUCCCGGCCACUGUCCCAUCCCACUGUCGUGGGAUACGCUGGGCACGAAUGGAUCCUGCUUCUGAACUUCCACCAAAGUCCCUCAAAAUCUCCUCUUGGCUUCCAUAUUCCUCACUUGACUUUCAUGUUCUGGUGCUCAGCUUCCAAGAGAGCACUUCUGUCAGUCAUGGGAACACUUAUCUGAGCUCAUUAAAGCACUUAAUUAA